UAGAGAUAGAAGUUUCCCCUUCGGGGGACAAAGUGACAGGUGGUGCAUGGUUGUCGUCAGCUCGUGUCGUGAGAUGUUGGGUUAAGUCCCGCAACGAGCGCAACCCUUAAGCUUAGUUGCCAUCAUUAAGUUGGGCACUCUAAGUUGACUGCCGGUGACAAACCGGAGGAAGGUGGGGAUGACGUCAAAUCAUCAUGCCCCUUAUGAUUUGGGCUACACACGUGCUACAAUGGACAAUACAAAGGGCAGCGAAACCGCGAGGUCAAGCAAAUCCCAUAAAGUUGUUCUCAGUUCGGAUUGUAGUCUGCAACUCGACUACAUGAAGCUGGAAUCGCUAGUAAUCGUAGAUCAGCAUGCUACGGUGAAUACGUUCCCGGGUCUUGUACACACCGCCCGUCACACCACGAGAGUUUGUAACACCCGAAGCCGGUGGAGUAACCAUUUGGAGCUAGCCGUCGAAGGUGGGACAAAUGAUUGGGGUGAAGUCGUAACAAGGUAGCCGUAUCGGAAGGUGCGGCUGGAUCACCUCCUUUCUAAGGA
rnacentral:rRNA from 1 species